rnacentral:lncRNA from 10 species
UGACAACCAAAAAUGUCUCCAGACAUUGGCACAUUGCCCCUGGUUGAGAAUUGCUGGUGGAAAAAAAUCACAGCCCCGCAGUUGGUCAGGCCCUUUUCAGACAACACCCCCCACUCCAUUACUCUUUGAUGUUGAGCCCAGCACAAUUUUCAGGUCCUGGACUCCCAAGGUUGGAGCCUCCACUUUUCAGGAAGCGGUUGCAUUCGAUUUCAGGAAGCGGUUGCAUUAGAUUUGUAGAGAGUGGGGGCCAAGGCAUCAUCCAGGCCACCUUCAUCCCCUGGGACUGCUACUGCAUCCUCCUAACUCAUCUCCUGCGUGUUCUACAUGCACAGCGGUCCAUACCACCCCACAGUGGGCAGCCCCUUGGGGUGCCUUAAUGCUCUUCGGAUAAAGCCCAGACUUUCUGAUGGGGCUUGUGGGGCCCUUCAAAGUGCAGUCCUUGGCUGGGUGUGUAGCUCAUGCCUAUAAUCCCAAUACCUUGGGAGGCUGAGGUGGGAGGAUCAUUUGAGGCCAGGAGUUCGAGACCAGCGUGGGCAACACAGUGAGACCCCAUUUCUACAAAUAAUAGAAAAUAAAAAAUUAGCCAAGAGUGGUGGCUUGUGCCUCUAGUCCCAGCUACUCGGGAGGCUAAGGCAGGAAGAUUGCUUGAACCCAGGAGUGCAAGACUUUAGUGAGCCAUGAUUGCACCACUGUACCUCCAACCUGGUCAAGAG